rnacentral:tRNA from 2 species
GCCGUGGUGGCGGAACUGGCAGACGCGCAUGGUUGAGGGCCAUGUCCUUUACGGGGUGGAGGUUCGAGUCCUCUCCACGGCACCA